GACAGAGGGUGCAAACGUUGUUCGGAAUUACUGGGCGUAAAGCGUGCGCAGGCGGCUUCUCAAGUCAGGGGUGAAAGCCCAGAGCUCAACUCUGGAAUUGCCUUUGAGACUGAGUGGCUUGAGUACGAGAGAGGUGAGUGGAAUUCCCAGUGUAGAGGUGAAAUGCGUAGAUAUCAGGAGGAACACCGGUGGCGAAGGCGGCUCUCUGGUCCACAACUGACGCUGAGGUGCGAAAGCUAGGGGAGCAAACGGG
rnacentral:rRNA from 1 species